UACGUAGGGUGCAAGCGUUGUCCGGAAUUAUUGGGCGUAAAGAGCUCGUAGGCGGCUUGUCGCGUCGUCCGUGAAAACCUGCAGCUCAACUGCAGGCUUGCGGUCGAUACGGGCAGGCUAGAGUUCGGUAGGGGAGACUGGAAUUCCUGGUGUAGCGGUGGAAUGCGCAGAUAUCAGGAGGAACACCGAUGGCGAAGGCAGAUCUCUGGGCCGUUACUGACGCUGAGGAGCGAAAGCGUGGGAGCGAACAGG
rnacentral:rRNA from 1 species